AACGCACAUUGCGCCCGCCAGUAUUCUGGCGGGCAUGCCUGUUCGAGCGUCAUUUCAACCAUCAAGCCCCAGGCUUGUGUUGGGGGCCUGCGGCUGCCGCAGCCCCCUAAAAGCAGUGGCGGGCUCGCUGUCAUUCCGAGCGCAGUAGUUAUAUCUCGCUCUGGGCGUGGCGGUGGGCACCUGCCGUGAAACACUCUUUCUAAGGUUGACCUCGGAUCAGGUAGGAAUACCCGCUGAACUUAA
rnacentral:misc_RNA from 1 species